AUCGAAGGUCUCUGCCAUGUGUGGCACAUGUAGAGUAGCUCACUUGCUUCAUAUGUGGAAUCAAGAUCAAGAGAUUCCAGAAGCAUAUUUUUUGGCAACAGGGCAGCUUAUCCAUGUUCCCCA
rnacentral:snRNA from 1 species